GCCAGACUCCUACGGGAGGCAGCAGUGGGGGAUAUUGCACAAUGGGGGGAACCCUGAUGCAGCGACGCCGCGUGGGUGAAGAAGUAUUUCGGUAUGUAAAGCCCUAUCGGCAGGGAAGAAAUUGGACGGUACCUGACUAAGAAGCCCCGGCUAACUACGCGCCAGCAGCCGCGGUAAUACGUAGGGGGCAAGCGUUAUCCGGAUUCACUGGGUGUAAAGGGAGCGUAGACGGCCAUGCAAGCCUGGAGUGAAAGCCCGGGGCCCAACCCCGGGACUGCUCUGGGAACUGUGCGGCUGGAGUGCGGGAGGGGCAGGCGGAAUUCCUGGUGUAGCGGUGGAAUGCGUAGAUAUCAGGAGGAACACCGGCGGCGAAGGCGGCCUGCUGGACCGCGACUGACGUUGAGGCUCGAAAGCGUGGGGAGCAAACAGGAUUAGAUACCCGUGUAU
rnacentral:rRNA from 1 species